AAAACUCUGGAAAGCCCUAUAAGGCACCGACGAAGCAAUCUUAAAUGUAGUAAGAGAAUCUUUCAGGUAAAAAGACAGAGGCG
rnacentral:ncRNA from 1 species